UACGAAGGGGGCUAGCGUUACUCGGAUUGACUGGGCGUAAAGGGCGCGUAGGCGGUUUGUACAGUCAGACGUGAAAUUCCUGGGCUCAACCUGGGGGCUGCGUUUGAUACGUGCAGACUUGAGUUCGGAAGAGGGUCGUGGAAUUCCCAGUGUAGAGGUGAAAUUCGUAGAUAUUGGGAAGAACACCGGUGGCGAAGGCGGCUCACUGGCUCAUUACUGACGCUCAGGCGCGAUAGCGUGGGGAUCAAACAGG
rnacentral:rRNA from 1 species